rnacentral:rRNA from 1 species
GGAGUCUGGGCCGUGUCUCAGUCCCAAUGUGGCCGAUCACCCUCUUAGGUCGGCUACCGAUCGUCGACUUGGUGGGCCGUUACCUCACCAACUAUCUAAUCGGACGCGAGCCCACCCUCUACCGGAUUGCUCCUUUGACCCCUGUGGGAUGUCCCACUGUGGUCUCAUGCGGUAUUAGAAUCCCUUUCGGAAUCUUAUCCCCCUGUAGAGGACAGGUUGCUCACGCGUUACUCACCCGUCCGCCGCUGAGUCAUGAAUCCAGCAAGCUUUCAUCAUGGCUCCGCUCGACUUGCAUGUGUUAAGCCUGUAGCUAGCGUUCAUC